rnacentral:rRNA from 1 species
CCUACGGGCGACAGCAGUGGGGAAUAUUGCGCAAUGGGCGAAAGCCUGACGCAGCGACGCCGCGUGAGGGAUGAAGGUCUUCGGAUCGUAAACCUCUGUCAGCAGGGAAGAACGGUCACUGUGCUAAUCAGCAGUGAAUUGACGGUACCUGCAAAGGAAGCACCGGCUAACUCCGUGCCCGCAGCCGCGGUAAUACGGAGGGUGAGAGCGUUAAUCGGAAUUACUGGGCGUAAAGCGCUCGUUGGCGGUAUGUCAAGUCAAGGGUGAAAUCCCCGCGCUCAACGUGGGAACUGCCUUUGAAACUGGCAAACUGGAGUGUGUGAGAGGAUAGUGGAAUGCCAGGUGUAGGAGUGAAAUCCGUAGAUAUCUGGAGGAACAUCAGUGGCGAAGGCGACUAUCUGGCACAUAACUGACGCUGAGGAGCGAAAGCGUGGGUAGCAAACAGGAUUAGAUACCCUGGUAGUC